GUGAAUCAUCGAAUUUUUGAACGCAAAUUGCACUCUCCUCUAAUAGUAUGCGUGUUUGAGGGUCAGCCUAUAUAAAAUCGACAUCGUUGCUGUUGCGCGUGGGCGCGCGUCGGAAAUUGGGUCAUCUUAAAUCCUUUUGAUUUAAGCGACUUAAAAUUUUUUUUUGGUUCCAUGAACGUUUCUAAGAGUUAUUUCUUUACAUGUUUAAGGUAUCGAUUUUUA
rnacentral:misc_RNA from 1 species